AAGCAAGAAUAAAGCAUAAGAUCAGACAUAUUUGGAUAUCUUCUUCGUACUUGCUCCGUCUUAAUCUAUUCUGAAUCCGACCGAAGUCUAAUGAGUCAAACAGAAUCUAUUCCAUCCUUGUGUUCAUCCUUGAUUUAUGUACCACCCAAAGGAAAAAAUACACGAAGACGUUCUUUAGCGAAUUUAUGACACGUCUGGGAAGAGAAACCACUAUUUGUAAGCCACAAAAUUCGUAAAUUGUAACAUAAAUUUCAAGUGGAAACGAUAUCUCUUUGGUACUUGCUGGAAUUAGGUGAAAAAAAAGUUUCAUAUUGGUUCAGAUAGAUGAGGAAUGUAAUGUACGUGCAAGACGCGAAAUUGAAUGAACAUUCUCUGCAUGGCUAGUAAACGCAGGAAUGUUGACGUGCGUUACAUUCACACGUCGGGGAAUGAAUGUUUUUCCAUCGAUUCUCCCUUUCCCUCGCUUCUGUCCCGAUAUUCCCCAAAUGGCAGAGGGCGCGAAGCAACAUGGGCAAAGGGAGGGCUGGCGAGACGCGGUUGAUGUUAACGCUGAGUUAUUCAAUAGGACGUAGAAAACGUCGGUAUAUCUACUACGAGACAGUUCUCAUGAGACUCGUAUCAUUUCAUUCAGUCCCCCAAGUUUUCCAGCUAUGCGGUAUUGUGGCCCUAGAACGUAGUUUGCGAAUUUCCCGUAUCGAUAUCUAUGCUUGUCGAACAUUCUAGUCAUAUGCGUCUAUUCAAUCUUGCAGAACCGGGCUCUUUACGAACGAAGAUUAUACGUUUCACAUGACCACUAUAUUAUAUAGGAUGCAUACCUAACGAGAUAAUAAGAAAAGUUCGUAUAUGAAGAUUUUACUGUAGAAAUGUGUACAACUCACCUUUCGCCAGCGUACGCGUUUAACCGAAUGACGUUUUCUUUCCAUUUAUUAUAUCAGAAACGUUCAUGCUUUUCGUAAAAUUCCAAGUUUAACGAAAUCUCUGAUGGAAUUAAUAGAGUCGAUAAUUUUUCCAAGAUAAUCAGAUGUACAAUUUCAUUUUUGACGACGUUUGUCAACCGAGAUUCAUUCUACCCUAUUAUCCUCCUUUAAGAUCAUUCUUCUCUAUCUGACCAUAAAACGAAUGCCGAGGGAACGUCGAAUUGCCGUCGGCAAAAAUCCAACGUUGAGGUUUUCUAAGAAAUACGAAUGCAGUCUUUGGUAAGCUACAAUGAAUGGAAGGGAGUCUGGAGUGAGGUAAGAUCAAAAGAGUCCUUUCGAACUAACUGAGCACAUAUAAAUAAGUAAGGGAUUCCACGCUCAAACUGACGUGGCGCCUGCGUUAUCAACGCCGUUUAAUACACGGACAUUCUUUCUCAAAAAUUAAACGUCUAAGCAAUUUUACCUAUUAAUAAUGAAUCUGAUACAAAAUCAGAGUUGUUAAGAUUAAUCCCUUACCUUUAUAACGUCAACUUAUGCUCGUGGCAAAGAUUAUAGUAUUGGCUUGGAAAAAGCAGAUUGUAUCCUUGACAAGAGUAGUUCUAUGUUAAAUCUCGCCAAAACUGUAGAUUUUAGAUUUUAUAUGUUUAUCAUUGUUGCGAACAUAUAAAUAUACAUAUAGCGACAACAAUAUGGACAAUUGUUGAUCAAUGUUGGGCAAUUGACAUCAAGCUUCUCUUGAAUAAUUGAAUUAAAUUCCGUAUUUCGUGCAAAUCGUCAUGAAAUUGAAUCGACCCUAUGACAAUAAUUUUAUUCUGAAAUCGACGGAUCUGAAGGAUCGGUCCGUCCCUAAUUCCUCUGGUACUACGUCUUCGAUCAAUUACUUUAUUGAAUUGAGAAAAUUUCAGGUUAUGUAUCAAAUAAGAAAUAGAAGGAUGGGGAGAAUAAAUAAAUGAGGUGGCACUGAGGAUCUAAGAAGUGUAUAAAGGAAAGAAAAGAGAAAACGAGAAUAAAACGUAUGCUGGUCCUGCUUUUCGUUCUUCCUUCUCUAUCUCGGGAUUAAACGGCUCGAUUUUCUUUGGACACGAAAUGUCCAAAAAAUUGUGAAUAAUGCAAUUACACGAAAAAUAAAUUUUACUACCAUUGUAUCUUACCUUUGGUAGUUUGAGAAUUUUUGUCCAUACUUUUUUACCACAAUGCUCUUAAAUGAAAUACAAAAAAUAAUCAAAGCAGAGAAAAAACGGAGAAAGACCAUCAAACAAAACUCACUUAAAUGUGUAAUUAAAUCAAUGAAUUUAACGAAGAAAUUUAUAUCAAUUCAUUCCAAGUACAAAACAAUCGGCCUACGUAAAAACAAAAUUAGUAAUUACAUUGGUCAGCAAUCAAAAUAUGCAUAUCAUGAAUGAAAAAUAUAAUAAUAGUUUAAAAAAUAUCAUUAUUGUUCUACAACUGCACGUCAAUGAGCUAUGUAACGAAAAUGGCUAAUUGCUUACAAUAAUUAUCGUUAGUUAAUUAACGAAAUGCGUUAGCGUCUGACAACAAGCAAUUUAGAUCGUUUUGUUUCCAAGCGCAUUACUUAUUCUCAUCAAAAUUCUAUUAGUUCGCGCAAUCGGCGUGUUCGAGAAAUUACACUGCCACGUUCCAUUUGGUAAUCUUCCCUCUCGUUAACUAAUUACGGAACAAUUAGCAUAUAGUCUAAGACACCUUUUUUGCAGGUGAUUAACCACCGUCAAACGCGGACAGAUCCCUGUACGAAGGUGAUGAUUGUUGCACUCGGUCUGUGUAAAUGAAAAGUUUGUUCUGCGUGGCGGAUAAUUUAAUAAAUUCAAAAGUUUCGAAAUUACGCCGUACAUAACCAUGGAUACCGAGCAAUUCCAUUAAUGACGAACACUGCAGUCCGUAAUAUAGUAUCUUCCAACAAAAAAAUUGAACUUCCUGACUGCGAGCCAACGUGCUUUUAUGCGAUGACGUUCCUUUAAUUAAUUUAAAAGUUGUUUCAAUUUUAAUUUACUAAUUGAGCUACUUCUUAAUUAGGCGUAUCUUUAAUUACAAAAUUAAAAUUGAUGGAUGGUAAUUAGUUUUAAUUAGGUUAUAUUUCAUCUUUGCGUAUAUAAGUGAUGAUAUUGUAGUAUCGUAGACAAAUGGCCUAAGAAAUAUCGGGUGAACUUAAGUGCCGUUAGGCCAAAAGGCAGUUUUUACCAAGUGAUCGUUACCUGUUAGUUUUUACCGGGUGGUCGUCACCUGAAGAGUCCAGUGGGGGAGUUGUGAGUUGAAAGUCGAGUGAUGAGAGUCGAGUUGAGAUAGUCGUGAGUUAAGAGUCGAGUGGAGUAGUCGUGAGUUGAGAAUCGAGUGGUGAAGAGUCGAGUUGAGAUAGUUGUGAGUUGACAGUCGAGUGGUGAGGAGUCGAGAGUUGAGUUGCCGAGUAAACUAUUAGUUCUGCUCGUAGAUCAACGAAUACUGGGUUCCAUAGCUAGCUCUGUUACGACAUCGCGUGCGUCGGCCUGAUCUAACACACUUCAAAGCUACAUCCUCGUGUACUCUAUACGUACUUACUACGUGAAUACUUUGACUAGAAACUCACAAUCUGCUCGGUGGUUGGGUUGAUUUAUACCGAAGAACGGAUGUACAUGAAAGUAUCAAACGUACAAGAACCGUGUACACCGGAACAAAAAGUAAAAUCGUAGACGCGAGACAAAUAGAAAGGUGGAAUAUAAAACGGAGUGAACGGCAAAAUUUGAUGGGGAAAUUUUACGACAUGGAUGACGCUUUGAAUCGUGGCUUAGAUAUAUGACAACAAUGUCGGUAUCGACGACCGCGAAGCUUUGUGAAGCCGGUAUGCAAAAUGACCAACAAAAUUGCUUUAAUCUCGUCUCUUUCUUUCUCCUUUGCCGAAACAUGCUGCGAUGCAGCAACUAAGUUUUUAGUUCCCUCUAUGAGCUACUGAGUACAUUCGUUCACUCAAGACAAAAGAGUUUCAAGGCGUAUCAUUGAAAGAUAAAGCGGCGUGCCACGCUCAAAAGAAAGCCACACAUGAAACGAAAGAAUGGCACUUUGCAUAGCAAAAUGGGACGGGUACAAGACCAUGAAUAUUUCCAGUAGGAAAUAUUUAGAAUCAUAUUAAAAAGGAAUUAUUAGAUCCCCCGAAAAGUUUGUAACAAUUUUAACAAUGGAUAUAUUCGGUAGGGUUGGACGAGGAUUUAUCACGAAUUUCUACUGCAUAUCGAAAUUCUAAGUUUGGAAAAAUACCAAUUCUGUUUCGAAAGAGGAACUGGAAUUGAUUAACGUUAGCCAUUUAAACCAUUCAAUCGAAUAAUUGCGAAAAAUAAAUUCGUAGUUGAUCAUGGAAUAAUUCGGUGGUACGCAAAUGUUUCGAAGCAACGACGAACUAUAUAAACGAUUCAAAAUAUAUCGUUCUGAGCCGAAGUCUUGACCAGGUAAAUUGGGGUUUGGUUGGUAUCUAUUCCGGAUUUUGGAAACUUACCAUUAAAAACACUGAAACUCAAAAUUUUCUGAAGUUCGUUAUAUAAUAAUAAAAAUAUGUAAUCUUAUGGUUUAAUGAAUAUGUAAGUAAGAAUUAAUUCUUAAUUUUAAUAAGUCAGGUGUAAGUAUCUAUUAACGAUAAGUCUCACAAAUAUUUCCUAUUAUUUUUUUCAAAAUUAAAUUUUUAUAUACGCAUGAUUUUACUGCAAGUUCUACACCGUGUCUGCUCCGAAACGUUUAUGGAAAGAUGAAGGAUUCAAAUAAGAUACUGAAUGAAGAAGUUUAGUCGAAUUUAUGACCUUAAUCAAAACUAUUUAACUUGCUUUUGAUGCAGUUAUAACAAAAACGUGGAAGUUAUUAAUGAUUCAGGAGAAAAUUGGUAUGUACUAAUACACAGAAGCAGAACUUUCUAGUGAAGAUCAAGAACCUCAUAAAUUGCGAAUAAAGUUAAUUGAGCGGAAAACUGCGUCCUACAAUUGGCUCUUAAGAAAUUGCUGAAUGCUUUGUUUGAUUCAUUAUGCGAGAAUUUAAUAUCUCUUUAGGUAUAUUCUAUAUAUAAAGAACCUUCAUGAUUAUAAAAACCAUCACCAUUUCAUUAAAAAUAAAUCAAAAAACGAGAAAUGUAUAUAAUUCGCUUCUCUACAUCACAUAAAAUAUCCCUCUUUUGUUUAAAAUAAAAUUUUAACAAAAUUAAAACCAACGACUGGAAUGAAACUGAAACUCGCUAACGUUAAAAUAAUUAACUUUAAUACCAUAUUUUUAUCUUUCUACACGCACGCACAAAUACAUAAAUAUGUACCUACACUGAAUAUUAUUAUUCAACGCACACUUUUAUACAUCUACAAAUGUAUGACGUACAUUCUCGUAAAAGUGGAAACCCACGUUUGUAUCUACACCUCUAUGAGCAUACAUAUACUUAAAUAGUAGUCAAGCCGAUCCUCAAGAGUUCAUUAUAAACGCCAGCCAACCAACCGACCUUUCCUCUCAACUCGGAAACUCACUUUACCACAUCUAUAUAGGCGCUACUUCGCGAUUUUCUGAAUUACUAAAUAAAAAAAGUCAUUUAAUUUCGCGUAUAAAAUUUACAGACAGACUCGUUGAAAUGCUCCGGCUACGUCAGCAAACUAUCCCUAAUUUCAAGAAUCAUUUGCUCAUUUUUUUUCUCAACUUGCUCCUGAAUUUCAUAUAACUUGGAUAAAGCAUUGUGGAAUAUUAAUCAAUAAAUGGGAAAUGGAAAAUUAAUGGAAAAUGUCAAGAAAUGUUUAAAAGUUAAUCAAACAUUUGAACAUAUGAGUCUUCACAUAAGAAAUGAAAUAUGUAUCUCGUAAAAUAUUGAUCUUUCAAUGACUAUUCACAAAUGACGGUGAUUUUUUCCUAAUCUCGUUUAGAAGAAGUAGCUUAGCUACGUUGAUAGAAUCAUCAUGUAUACAUAUUUAUAAUAAUUUGUAAACCUUACAGACUUAAACGAGCGUAUGCAUUUCAGAAUGUGUUGUGGAACACACAUGAAUGAGCGCAAGAGGGAGGAAGUAUAUAUUUAAAUUGAAGUAAAAUAAGUAUCCGUAAAACGGUACAAAUAUUUAUGUUGCGAUAAAAAAUAUCGCUGUUGAAAUAUUUUUAUAAUAUUUUUAUAAUUAAUUUUUAUAAAUAAACGUUAUAGAGGGGAUAUAGAUGCUCGGGUUGAAAUUAGAGGUUUAUGGGGAAAUAAAUCUAAACUAAGUGGAACAGUUUUUUGAGAAUUAAAUGCAUCGCCUUUUAUAACAUCCUAUGACAUACGUGUAAUGUUUAUUGGCAUUGUAAGUAAUAAAAAUUUGAGUCCGUAGUGAGCAUAUUAAAUAGAUGAAUUUUCACGUAGCAUAAUAUUUACCAAGAAAAAGUUCUUUACGAAUUAAUGGGCAAAAAUAUACAAUAUGUAAUUAUUAUUCGGUAAGCAUAAAACAAUAUAUAGCGCACAGAAACUUCACUAACGAGUCUCCUCGCAGAAAUUUAUUAUAAUUACGUAGGAGAGUUGGAAACGCCUGUUUCUGAUGUAUAGAACUUCAUUUUAGGUCCAUUAAAGGAUGGCAUGGAAACGGAAUUGCGAAAGUGUCGUUUUUGUUACCAUAUUGCACCGGAAACUUUUUCCAUUAAUAUUACGAACCCUUAUAUUGUACUCUAUGCCAAUAAAUCGACCCUCGUGAACAAAUUUAGGGGGAUGCCCAAACAAUAAAUGGGGUGGUGCAAAAGCAAAUACAAGUGAUCUUUUUCUGUCACCAGCUACAUAGUGAUGCUGUGUCUGUGAAAAAAUAUUCGUUUCGAUAUGUGCAUCGUUGAUCGGAUAUUGUACAUUAAAACGAAAUAUCAAAAAACAUAUUUGUCGUACGAAUCAACAGAAUUUAUCAAAGAAUAUCAUCAAUUUUCGAUUAUAUUAAAAUAUACAUCUGUUAUUUAUGUUUCAUUAGAUUCUUGUAUAAUAAAUUUUAUCUGAAGAUAAAUUAUAUCAAUAAGUACGUAUGUAUCUAUUCCCCUCUUUUAAUUUUAUUAGUCAAUUAUACCAAUUAAUAUGAGGUGUUGCAUAAUCAUCGGUAUUUUUUCUUUCCGCGUAAUAUUAUACAUAAUUUAUCUCACAUUUAUCCAUGCGAUUAAUUUUACCAUAUUCGAAAUGCACAUGCAAUCUAGAGUUUUCAAAUAUGAAUCUUGGCUUCUGAAUAAAUUUUUAACUUCCUGUUUCAACUUCUCCUAGUGAAUUUCGAUGAUACAGAAUCAUAUUCUAAUUCGAAUAUGUAUAUAUAUUUCCCUCCAUAAGUAUUAAGAUAUUUACGAAAAAUUAGGUAAGUAAAAGAUCAUCGAACCUUUUGCAGUAUCAUGCAAAUUUUGUAAAUAAGCUUCCAUUUCUUGGUCAAAGGCUAAACUAAACUGCUAGUAGCUAAUAGUGAUAGUAACAGUAUUACAAGUAUUACAUUCACUGUUGUAGAUUCGGUAUUACAGUCACUAUUUACAGAUCUUUUAUUAAUCGGCAGACAAAGGAAAAAUAUGAUAAAUAGUAUAUAGAAGUACAAAAUAAUAAGUAUGAAAUAUCAAAUUAUCCAGGGAAAUAUCAUGGAAUAUCAAAUUAUACAUUGCUUUUAAUUAAAUUGUACGUAAAUAAGGAAAUACUGAUAUAAACAUAUGAAAAGUUGGACGUAAGGGAAAAGAGAUAAAUUUAUGUUUGUAAUGAAUGUUUGUCGUGUAGAGAGAAAUUGUAACGUUAAAACCGAUCGUCGAAAAUAACACGGGGAGAACGACGAACGGUAUACUAUACUGUUACUGGUACUUAAAACAUUCACGGCAUACACAACUACUAACUGUAUGUAACUAAUACUAAAAAUGACUUCUCGUAAUAGUUACGAUGAAACGCUACAUCGUUAUAAGAUUUAUAAUUCACUCUAUGAUAGAAUUCUCUGUCAUGUGUAGAAUUAUUAUCAAUGUAUAUGAUACAUUACAUUAUAUUUUAUAUCGUGAAAUUUAGCGUCGAUAGAUGCUUUUCGAUAUUUGUUAAAUGGAAAAAGUAUGCGUGUUUUAAGGUCAGAAUAAUUGAACAAUAUUUACAUUGUAUAUUCUUUGUAAAACGAUUCGCUCUCUUGCGUUUCGAUUUAAUCGAGCGAAAGGGUAUCGAAUGAUAGUAUUUUGAAGUCACUGCCAAUCAUGUAUCUUGUUGAUUGAUUUGGGAUACACUUAAUGACAAUGUUUUUUGGAUACCUUUCAAUCGAAAGCGAUUAAUCAACCACUGAAUUCUAACAUUUGGCAACAAGUUUAGACAACGGUUAAUUGAUAAUUAUACAUAUACCUAUUGAUACAACAUAGAGAAUCUUCCACGUCUCUAGCAGAAAUUGAAUUCGAUGUAAAUUAAAUCCUUGAGUAGAAAUAUUUAAGAUAUUAUAAUUUCAAUUCACCAAAUAUAAUCUCUACAUGGCAGUUAUAAUCACAAUUUGCUUGACAAAUACUAACCGUCAUUAUUCAUUUAUGAAUGUACAAGACUAUAUUGUUGGUAUAUGGAACAUCUACAGAACAUGCCACUGCAUCAGUUUGCAUUAUAAUAAAACCGUAUUUACAGCUACCUACGAGGUACCAAAUAUUUUGAAGGAUAUCGUAAUACCGACGGCUCUGAUAUUGAGUCGAUAUUAGUCAGCAUUAAACAAAACGUGACAAAUAUAAUACAGAGUAACAUCGUUGUGCGAAUCGAAGGGACGAACGAAACGAGGGGUAAAGUACAGUAGGGAAUCCAUGGUGAUAAUUAAUUCCAUGUCGCUGACAUAUGGUGCUCACGGGAAUGCUAUUUCGAAUUACCAUACGUAAGCUAUAUUGUUCAGAGCAGCGGAUGGCUGCGAGCUGUCGCUACCAGACAGCGCGUUUAAUUGACUGAGUUAAUUUGAACUAAACAAUGAUUAAAACUGAGACUGGACUCGGCGGUUUGUUGCGCGUGAUACCUAUGCAGAAUGAUUCAUCAUUCUCCAUCAUAGCGUUUCCCAAUUUUUCCCAAGUCGCGAGAUCUUCUUUUAUAUCAGUUAAACAUCCAAAUCACCUGCUACUUUUCCUUCGCAUUUGCGUAACAAGGCAUUUCGCUUCUUUCCAUUUAUCAAAAAAUGAUGUUACGCCGCCUUCCUAUUCUAUUUUUACGAUGUAACGAAGGAAAUCGCGUUUAUUGCAAUUACUGAACGCUCUUAUUUUCAUUUAUGUUUGCCAACCGAAAAGAAUUGGUGUGAACGUCAACGUUGAAAGUAUCAUUGUGUUAACAUGUGUUACACGAUUUAUUAUAUCUAUUAACAAUACACGGAACAAAUAAAAAGGGCAAGAUCAUUUUGAGAUGUCGAGAUUCUAUAAAAAACUAAUGUACAACAGAAAUGGAAUAUUUGUCCGAUUAAACUUGCAAAUCAACAAUAUAGCCUGAAUUAAACUCAUUUACGUAUUAACGAUUGCUGGUUAUGCUUAAUGUGUCGAAAUGUACCUAUGUAGAGAUUUAUACAUAGGUGUUUUGAAAUGGAAAUAUAGUAACAAAUAAAGAAUUAAAAUUUAAAAUUGAUGCUCGUUAACUUUGAUUACCGACAUUUUUGGAAAGAAAUAUACCAGAAAUUCAAGUGAUCUAUUACAUGAUCUACUACUGUUCCCAAACAAGAAUCAUUCAAUUCCAGGAAAAUAAAAAAAUCUUUUUAUAAUUCCUGAUAAAUGGAUACUAUAUUUUAGUUUCUUAGCCUCGAAAUUUGCAUACUUUUUCUCAGAAACAAGUAUCUAAAAAACUAUUUGAAUAAAUAUUUAUUUUACGAACUUGCUUUCUUCGAUAAAAAAAAUGUGUCAAAAUUUAAUCUGUUUAAGUUGCUUCAAAGCCAGGUAAUAUAUGGUGUUAAAGAUAUUAAAAAAUCGUUAUCAAUUAGUGAAAACUAUAACAACAUUUAUAUGUAAAGUACGUUGUUAUAUAGAUAAAUUACGUAAAUGCAUUGACAAUGCGUUAUGCAAAUGGUUAACGAGUUUGACUUGUUUAAUAAAUAGCAACAAUUGAUUAUUAUAUGAUCAAUACGUGAACAUCAACAAUAAUGAUUAGCAUUUUGCAACAACCCUUAAUUAAUCCUAUUUGUAUUUACUAAUGUUAUCGUCAUUUAACUAUAACUCUCCAAAUAUACAAGUAAAUCGAUAUAAACACGAGAUUAUUGAAAAAUACAUACAAGUACUAUAAAUUUAGAAAAGAGUGUAUUCAGACGGAUUUUCGUACGAAAAAUCAUUCUUCCAUUUUUAAAACAAGUUGUUUUAAAAGAAUUUAUUCUCCAAACUAGUCAUACUCAACCUACGGUCAGUAAAGCUUUUAUAUAGGACCCAUAACAUUCACGUUCAUUGUCAGGUACUUUUCUAAGUAGUGAGAAAAAGGAAAGAGAAAGAAACACAUGUAAAGAAAACGAAGGAACAAAGAAAAGAAGUUAUGCAAUAUAUAAUGAUAGAUUUAGGAUAUCAAUUUAUAUCAAUAGAUGCUACAUUUCUAUCAUCUGACUGCAAAAUAUACACAUAUUGUGAAUAAAACCAGUUUAAGAAUUAUUAAAACUUUCUCACUUUUUCCAAGAGAUGGGAUCAUUAGCGAUCUAUAAUUUCUUUCAGACUUUUGUACCUCAUAAUGACUAGAAUAUGUUGCAAUAAUAAAAAAAUUUGAUCCUGAAUUUCAAGGUCAAGAUCAUUUUCAGAAUCAAGGUUUUCAAAAGGUUCAGACUCAAGCAGCUAUCCUCUUUACGCUUACCUUUUUGAACCUUGUAUAUAUAUCCUAAUUAAUAAACAAUAAAUUUAAUAAUUACCUAUUUAAUUUCUUUCACCUCUAAUAACUGGGGAUGGUUUUCACUUAUGCCUAAUAUGAUUCUAUCGAGAUAUUUGAAAAGAGCUCAAGUGUGCAAUGAUCUCUUGGUAAGCUCUUAAAACUCGGUUCACUCGUAAUGAUUUAAAAUUUAAGACAAUAAUGUAAUAAUCAAUAUAAUUAAGUUCAAAUAAUAUACACAUUUCUAACUUAAUACAUCGUUCAGAUACACUACCACUAUUAUCUCUAGUCAUCGUCUUGAACAAUUGUUCAAGUUAGUUAGUUGCACAUAUAGCCUAGUUAUGAAUAAACACAUUGCAAUAAAAACAAUUGUGCUAGCAUUACAAAAUAA